rnacentral:lncRNA from 10 species
GAGGAGAAGCGCCAAGUGCGCAUGGGGACGCUAUAGCAAUUCGUUUGCUGUCCUUCCUCUCCUUCGAAGAUGACAAGGCCUACCAUCGUUUCUUCCUGCCUUUGGGCCGUCAGGCAGUUGGUUGGGACCCGCUCCAACCCUCGGUUCUUCCUGCAAUACAGUGGAUACAAUUUGUCAUGGCUACUCUGAGUGUUAUAGGUUCAAGUUCACUUAUUGCCUAUGCUGUAUUCCAUAAUAUACAGAAAUCUCCAGAGGUGAGUGAUUUCUCUUUGUGUUGGAUUUGAACUUUUUAUUGACCUAGUCUCUGAAACAAAUAACAGAUGUUACCUGUAAGUGGUGAAAUAAUUCUAUGAAUUACUUUUAAAUUUGUCAUGAUGAUACAAUGAGAUAUUUUUGGCAUGGUCAGUAGGGCUCCCUUUUCUUCUAGGUAAUUAUUUUAGCUAUAACUUUGAAUUCUGAGAGAUUAACUAUUUUUUUUUUUUUUU